CCAUGAGGGAAAGAUGAAAAGGACUUUGAAAAGAGAGUUAAAAGUGCCUGAACUUGCUGAAACGAAAGCGGAUGGAACCAGUCUGCUUGGUGAGAUUGUCACGUGCUGCAUUGAUUGUCUGCUUGCUCAGCGUAAGCGUGCUUGUAGUCUUUGAUUUGUUCGCGCGUGAUGUUUCUUGCCUUGUCAGUCACUGUCAGUUGGCAGGCGAGGAUAACUCUUGGGACAUGGUAUCCUAUCUACGGGUGGGUGAAUGUGCCUUGUAGGACUCGCUUGUGUACUGCAUUCUUUUGUUUGGCUGCGCUGCUGUACUCUGCUGUCCUUGUGGCUCAGAGCACUGGCACCUCCCUUACAAUCUAUGGUGACGAAAUGGUUCUAUUCGACCCGUCUUGAAACACGGACCAAGGAGUCUAACAUAUGUGCAAGUUCAUGGGAGUUAAACCUAUGUGCGUAAUGAAAGUAAGUGCUGAGAUAUUUGCAUCAGCAGCCGACCAAUCAAUUGGGAGAGGUUUGAGCAUGAGCAUAUCUGUUAGGACCCGAAAGAUGGUGAACUAUGCCUGAGAACGGUGAAGAUCUGGGGAAACUCAGAU
rnacentral:rRNA from 1 species